AAUAGCGUGUGUUCAUUGCGAUCAAUUCUGUAUCUUCCGAUUAUAAUUAAGUGAAUUUAUAUUCAUUAAACAUUCGCGGACAUAUCGGACAUAUCGAUCGUGUGCUGCGGCGUGGUGCAUUAUCGCAUUUCUUGUGAUUUUAGGUCCGUAGUUGAAUUAGAAACGGUCAGCAAAGAAAAGAUUUAGAAUUACCAGACAAGUGCGGCGUAUAGUUAUUGAAAUAUCGUGCGUCCGGAAUUGCAAAAUACGUUUAACGUUUUAACGCGACCUUACGGAUAUCUUGGACCAGGUGUGAACUGCAGGUCUCUUCCAGAAGGAUUCAAUAGAAAAUGGUAAUUCCCGGUAGAGCAAGAAACAUCUUCAACGAUUUCAAUGAUUCUAUCAAAUUUUGACUGGCCAAGAGAUUUACCUUUUUACUGGGGAAUUCCAUGGAUUUGGACGCAGCAUCAACAACUUACAUUUUGCGAUUCACAGAGCCCCGAAGUCCGGGUGAAGAAGAAAAAUGGACACCUUCAAACCUUUCUGCUUUUAAUAUAAUUGGACCAAAAAAUAACGCAAAUUUAGCCAAAUUGGUUAAAUUUGGGAAAAAAAGACAGCGCAGAACUAUUAUUAUAAACUUAUUACGCUUGUUAAAGGCAGUACAAGACUUGUUAUUGGGCUAAAUAGUUAAACAG